GGGUUGAACAGGAUGAGCAGUCAGCUGAAGAUGCCAAUUUCUCUGAACAGGAGUACACAGGUAAGAAGAUUUUUCUAAUCUUUUCAAUGAGAUAAAAGGUUGGAUCUUGGCUGUUCUGCAGGGUAAAGAACUGAAAGCUGUGAACCAACUCCCAGGUAUGGGACUGUGUCUGAAAAGAAUUUGUGGAAAGAGAACAGCCUGAGUACUUGAAGUCGAAGCUUGUAGGUGCAGAAGAAUGGAUUACAAGUGACCUCACCCCUGAUUACAAGUCACAGUUGUACUAAUUACCAAAGAACAGCCUUGCCUUUAAUGGGUGACUAAUAAAGAUAAGGGUGAUGAAAGGGGUGGACCUGUCAAGGAGAGCCUAGAGGACCUAGAGGAGGUGGAGGAGCCCUGAGCAAGAAGGAACAAUCCAGAGAGACACAAAGAAGAAUAAAACAAGGAAGAGAGUUGCUGCUGCAGAAGAUCUGCUGUAAGGUCAGUCUGGAUCUGGUGGAGUUGGAGCCUGCAGCCACAGUCAAGCCAGGUAAAAGCCUGUGGUCAGAGGCAGCAAGGAAAUAUUUGCAGUCAAAUUCCAGCAGGAAUAGCCAGCAGUCAGUCUGUCAGAGAAGCCAACAGCAGGAGCUUGCUGUAGUCAGAGUCAGAAUGGCUGAACUGUAAAGAAGAAUAAACCAGGACCCUUUUCAUGCUGUUAAGUGAGAGUUUGUGUCUUGGCUCAUUUCUACCCCUAACGAGAGGUCUGCUGCAACACCUGAAACUUAAGGAUAUCUGAAGGCAACCAAUAAAGAAGGAAUAAUCUACCUAUUAUCUGAGCUGCAGCACAAAGGAAAAGAAGAGGCCGCCUCCUACCUACAAACUGGAGAGGAAAUGAACACUCCCUUACCUAGAUCUAGUGGUUUACAGGCACAAAAGUAAUUUGUGAUAUAGUCCACCUUGAACUGGGAAUUGAUGGUGAUUCUUUAGGUUUUAAGGUUUUCUAUUCUGUUUUGGUGUGCAGCUUUUAGCUUUAUAUUAAGUGUUACUAGGAUCUUUUUCUUUUGUGGUGAAGACAAAACAGUCCUGUUCCAGCUGGACACUCAAGGACAAGCUCUUCAAACUUCAGGCCCAAAGCACAAACAACAUGAAAAGAGGAAGAUGGGCAGGCAAAGAGGAUGGAACUCCAUAAUUUGAAGCUAUUAAUCAGGCAGUUAACUCCUAUAUGGAAAUGGACUAAAAUUUACAAAAUGUGAGAUCUCAUGACCAAGCUCUCUUUUGCUUCCACCUUGGAGCCAUCCAGGCAGAGCCACGACUGUGGCUCUGGUACUGCCAGGGUGUGGCCUUUGAAGGCACUGCAAUAAAUAUCCACUUUAUUCUUCUUAACUCCCUCUAGCCUCUGUUCCAGCUCCUUAAGGCAUCAAUGGGAUAAUGAUCUGCAAACUUGAUCAUCUUCUUGAGAGCAUCAUAAAUGAAGAUGAAGCUGAUCAGGGAGGAAAAUCCUUCUUUGGUGAAGUACUUGACCAGAAGGUCAUUUUCCUGUCAUCACCUCGCCUGAGUAUUUCACACAGGACUGCCUUCUCCUUCACAAGCUCUUUAUCUUCUCGCAGACUGGAGUGGAGUACAUGCCUGUCUGAUCCAGCAGAAGCUGCUCUCUCCAGUGAGCUGGAAGAAAUAUGGCUAAACCAGAAUUCAGCUGAAAAAUAGGACUUCCUGUAGGUACUGCAACACUGGUUUUUGUAUUGUUGGGAAGACCUAAGAUGCUGUUUUGCUUGGUGCUGCAUUGUUUUGUAUAAUAUGAACCAGACAACUGUUUCUUUGCUACCUCUGCUCCGACGCAUCUUACAUCUUCCUACAAGGUGCCAAAUUAACUCACAAUUAACAAAAAAUGUGAACUUUCAAAGACAUGAGCUGCCCCAGGUGAUAACCCAUUUUUGGCAGAAAUCUUUCUUUUUUUCUUGACUCUAUGAUGAAGUUCCUAAUAUUGAUACUUCAGCAAAUGUCCACAGUCAAAGAGUCUGGGGUUGUUGGGGAAUUUUUGCUUACUUUGGGUUGUUUUAGCUGUUUGUCUGAAGUGUGGUCCAGAAGACCAAAAAUCAGAGCCCAAGUUCCCAUACGUACAAACCAUGGCAGGGGUUGGGCAAUCAUUCAGUCUGUGGGACUGAGUUACUGGUGAUGAAGCACACCCAAAGCAGUUGAAGGACACAGCAGUGGUUGUAGGAGCUUAUCUGAAGUACCUGAUCUUACUGCCCAGCCCUGCUUCCUUCCAAGACACUGUUCCUCCCCAAAAAGUAGAUUUCUAACAGAAUUUCAGAGUGAAGUUGAGUGUGGGAAGAAGGGAGGGUGGAGGGAAUGUGUUUUAAGGUUUGGUUUUCCAUCUCAUCACCCCCACUCUGAUCUGAUUUUCAGUAAACCAAACCAAUUUCCUCGCUCUGAUUUCCUCUCCCCUGUCCAGCUGAGGGGGAAGUGACACAGUGGCUUUGGUGGGCACCUGACAUCCAACCAGGGUCAACCUGUCACAGACAAAAAUACUGGAAAAAGAAAUCUCAGGCUCCAGAUUCACUCAUGAGUCUUUUCCCUUCCCCACAGUCUCCUUGACUGUCUUGGGUGUGUUCAUCCACUUAACCCCAGGGUUUUGGCUUUUAAUUUCCUUUUUCAAAAUUUGUGAUUUUACUUUGCAGUAGGACAAACCACUGUCCCUGUGGAAUUAGCCUGUUUCCUGUGUUACCAAGAUGGAAGAAGUUACAGCUCAAGCACAUAGUUUAUGAUGGGGAAAAAAAAAAAAAGCUGAACUUGCUAUGCCAUGUGGGAGAAAUGGGUUUUAAUAAGGGCAUAAAUUCAAGUCUGCCAAUUCCCUGCUUGAGUUUCUCUCAAUGUCAGCAAAGCACAUUUGUGUUGAACUUUCUCAAUUGCCUCGAGUUCAGGCCAGGAUUAACUUUGUACUAAUCUUCAAAAUUGGGAAUGGCCUUAACAUUUCCUGCAAGGUGAGCUCAGACACAAAUACGGGAAUCAUUUGAAUGUCAUAAAUUACCUCCACUCUCCUCUGUGUGUGUGUGCAUGUAUAAGUAAAUAAACAAGUCCUUAUGUUUUGUCCUUCUAAAGAGCCUGUGGAAGAUUUUUUCAGUGUUAGGCUGACAAAUUGAGUGUUUAAUUUCCAAGAAAUGCAAUCAAAUUUUGCCUGCUUCUAAAUUCCCCUCCUGUUUUUCAGCUUCCUCUCCCUCACUUCACAUUGUCUCCAAGUGCACAACCCAUUUCUGUCCUCUGCAUCCAAUUAUGUGUAUGAUGAAUUUUGAAGCAGGAGAAUCUCAAAUAUAUGAACACUGAACAAAAUUCAGUAAGGUUUUCCAUGGCCUAAAGUAAACCAACCAGUUAGUUACUGCAUAUCUCAUCCAAACUUCAACCUUGCAUAGGCAAACUGCUUCCCAAAAGUGGGAAUCUUUUAAUGCACAAAAACCUAAAUAAAAAGAAAAAACUCUUAUCCUAACUCUUUCAGAUCUAGUGCUACCAGGCAUUCUGUGUCAGGGCUCUGCAAAAAUUUUAUUAUUAAAUUAUAAGUUCAACACAUUCCUUUGCUAGUCAUUCC